GCUUCCAAAAUCAAGAGUCCCAUUACCAGUCAUGUUUCUCACUGUGACGGUGACGGGAGCCACGCUGCAGUUCAGCAGCCGCAAAUUAGUGGCAGUCCAGAACUCCGAGAGCUUGGUCUUCAUCCAGACAGACAAACCCAUCUACAAGCCUGGGCAGACAGUCCUCUUCAGAAUUGUUUCUCUGGAUGAAGAGUUCCGACCUGUGAAUGAAAUGAUUCCAUUGGUAUAUAUUGAGGUAUGUAC